rnacentral:rRNA from 1 species
CCCUGAAGAUGGGGAUAGCUAGUAGAAAUAUUAGAUAAUACCGAAUGUGCUUAUACGGAUAAAGCCGUAUAAGGAAAGGAGCUACGGCUCCGCUUUAGGAUGGGCCUGCGUCCCAUUAGCUUGUUGGUGAGGUAACGGCCCACCAAGGCGACGAUGGGUAUCCGGCCUGAGAGGGUGAACGGACACAUUGGGACUGAGAUACGGCCCAAACUCCUACGGGAGGCAGCAGCUAAGAAUCUUCCGCAAUGGACGAAAGUCUGACGGAGCGACGCCGCGUGAAUGAAGAAGGCUGAAAAGUUGUAAAAUUCUUUUGCAUAUGAAAAAUAAGGAGAUGAGGGAAUGCAUCUUCGAUGACGGUAAUCAUGCGAAUAAGGGGCGGCUAAUUA